rnacentral:lncRNA from 1 species
UGGCAGUCUGCUGGUUGAUUAGCCAGCAGACUUCCUCUGAGGGAAGUCAGGAGACGAGAGAGAGAUGGACUUUUCCAGAUGGAGUAAUGAUCUUAAAGAUUCUAUUGUCCUCAAGCAAGAAGGCUCCAGAAAAAUCCCCCUACAAUGAUAGACAGCAAGAGUCCUGCAGUAUUGCCAGUUUUAGUCCAAUGACUGGCCGGGUGUUCCUGAUUGGUGACAGGAUUGCAAGCUGGUGCGUCGUUCGCCGCUGGGUUCCAGUUAGGAGCUGCCUGCUGUUGUCCCCUUGAGCAAAGCACUUAGCCUCUGCUGCCCCAGAUGGUGCUGUAUAACUUCCAGUUGGGCAAUGUUAGGCAGCAUAAUGACAACUUUGCAUUGUAAAAUGGAUCAGUAAAGUACCUUAACUUUUAAUGAUUUUGAUGAUAGUGUGUGUGUGUAUUAUGUUACAACAUUUUGAAAGAUUCUGAAGGUGGUCAAUACAUUAUUAAACAGACCUCUCUCUUGCUCUCUGACAUUCUUUCUGUCUCUUUUUGCAUCUCUCAUUAUACCUCAAACAUCUGCCUUCCCUUCCCUCCCUCUCCCCGAGCUCUGGAGACAGAAUUC